rnacentral:rRNA from 1 species
UGCAAGUCGGGGGGUAUAGUAGCAAUACUAGAGACCGGCGCACGGGUGCGUAACGCGUAUGCAAUCUACCUUAUACAGAGGGAUAGCCCAGAGAAAUUUGGAUUAAUACCUCAUAGCAUAGCAACUUCGCAUGAAGUCACUAUUAAAGUUCCAACGGUAUAAGAUGAGCAUGCGUCCUAUUAGCUAGAUGGUAAGGUAACGGCUUACCAUGGCUACGAUAGGUAGGGGUCCUGAGAGGGAGAUCCCCCACACUGGUACUGAGACACGGACCAGACUCCUACGGGAGGCAGCAGUGAGGAAUAUUGGACAAUGGGCGCAAGCCUGAUCCAGCCAUGCCGCGUGCAGGAAGACGCAUCUAUGGUGUGUAAACUGCUUUUGUACGGGAAGAAACACUCCCUCGUGAGGGAGCUUGACGGUACCGUAAGAAUAAGGAUCGGCUAACUCCGUGCCAGCAGCCGCGGUAAUACGGAGGAUCCAAGCGUUAUCCGGAAUCAUUGGGUUUAAAGGGUCCGUAGGCGGUUUGGUAAGUCAGUGGUGAAAGCCCAUCGCUUAACGAUGGAACGGCCAUUGAUACUGCCAGACUUGAAUUACUGGGAAGUAACUAGAAUAUGUAGUGUAGCGGUGAAAUGCU